ACUCACCAAAUUCUCUAUAGAUCAUUACACUCCAUCACGACGACACCAUCCUGAAUCACCUAGUAGUGUGGUUUCCUCCCUUCUACCCUUUCCGAUCUCACUUCUCUCAUUAGAACUCUCCAUCUUUCUUUCAACUUCUUCUCCGGUGGGAUUUUAUCCACUCUUGCUAACCUACCUGUGGCUAUGAGCCUUUACCUCCACCACAACAACCUCACCAGGAAAAUCCCCAGGUGGGAUCCCUGCUAAACAAGGGUCCCAAUGAAUUUUUUGGAGACCGUGGACUUUGUGGCCUCUCUUUGCAAAUCGCAUGCCCUGAAGCGCAAAAGCCUGGGAUUUUUACUAACCUUAAAAAAGGUUUCCCUCAAAACCCCAAUGCGCUCCACCCUGAAGGCUUAUACCAGAGAGUGAAACCACACGGUGGUGGCUUCGUCGCGGUUCUUGUCAUCUUUGGGCUUCGAGUUGCGGUUGGAAAAAUUUCUCUCUCAUUGUGGGCUUUUGGAUGACGGUGGGGUGGUGACGACGAGGGCAAAUUGGGGGCCAGUAGUUGGAGGGUUAGGUGGAUGUGUGUGAAGGGCAAGAUGGUAAAUUUGUUGUGGUGGACAAAAGGUUUAAGGUGGAGUUGGAGGAUUUGCAUAGUGUGUUUACAUAUGUUGCUGGAAAGAGUAGGAGUGGGAUUGUGUACAAGGUAGUCGGGGUCGGAAGAGAGUCUUCCAUUAUGUUAAAUGUGGUGGGUAUUCAGCGACUCAAUGAGGGUGACGUCAAGUGGUCUAUAAUGGAAGCCAUUGCAAGGUUCGUUUCCCCAAUAUGGUUGCCUUGCAAGCUUCUUAUCACCGAUUUCAUUCGCAAUGGAAGCUUGUAGAAACAUGUCUAGUUAGUAUUAGUUUGUAUCUAACAACUUGUAAGCAGGAAAAGGAUAUGAUGGAAGAUGAUACUAAGAAUGGAAGUUCAUAAGUGGAGAUAAAAGUUUUGUUUUUGCUAGAGCACGUUAUCUCACUCGCUUGAGUGAGAUGCUGCUGGAGGUGCCAUGUAGAAGUACUAAUGAUUGUUUGAAAAAAGCUUGUUGUGAAGUUUCCAGGUUUGAAGAAAUCAAAGGGUGUAUGGUCUUUGCUCUAAAUGAGAAGUAUACAACUGAGUCAAGCAUUGUUAAAGACACAAAUGAGUUGGCAAUAAUACCUCCAAUUAGAGGUGGUUGAACAACUUAAUAUCAUUACAAGAAUUCCACCUAUACACUAUUCGCGCUUCCACCUCGAUAAAAAAGAACCUCCACACACACCAAUUGUCACUGCCACACUCGCCGAUUAGAGUCGAUGUUGUUUCCAUUGUUGGCUUGUUGGUUUAACAGAGCUCCUAAGGAGGUUUCACUCCAGAAGGUCGUCAUGACAUAUUUGUUGCUGCAGCUGGACGGUCUGAGCACCCUAGACGUGUGCGUGGUGCUGGAUCAGGAGUUAGCAUACACCAAUAUUUUGGUGCCUCCUCUCAUCAGUCUUCAUGUAGACACACUAUUGAUUAUGAAGAAAGACUGACGCAAGAAAUAACUAAGGAGGUGACUGAUAAUGUUAUGCGCUAGUUCCAACAACAAUUCGAGAGUUAUGGCAUUCGUUCGCACUUAUCUUCUCCAACAGAACCAUUUAUGCCUCCCACGGAAGCUUGAAGGGGAUUUGUUCAACUCCACCCAUACCAAGGGAUGACAUGGACGACACUCAUUCAUGUCAGCUAAAUAUUCGCGAUGGUACAUUAAAGACACUAGUGGCUCAUGGAAAAGUAUUUGAGGCAGCCAUAAUUCUUCAUGGUAUAGAGUUAUCGGAGGAUGAGGUUAAGGUCACGAUAGAAGAGGUUCUUGUUUCUUGUGCCAACAAAUAAGGUAUAUACGAUGACAGAGGCAUUCCAAUGUUUCCUCACUUGGCCUAGAGAUUUAGUUGAUUCUAAUUCUGACCCCCCGAUAUAGACUCUCAAACCCACCAUAUACUAAAUUUUUAAGUUUACAUGCUAAUUAUAUUCAACCUUAAAUUGUAUUCCAUUUAAACUUAGUUGCAUCGACAGGAAAAUCCUCAACCAAAGAAGAUUCCUCUCUCUUUGGACGAUCCUCUUGGUGCAUUACACCAACUCGAUGAAAUCAUCAUUGAUAAGUUGAUGCAGGUUCCUUAGGAUUCUAAUAUUUUUUGGAGAGACCUUGAGAUUCCACUAUACUUGCAUAUAGAAGAUGUCUUGGAGCUUGCAUCAGGACAAGAUGAACUGAAUAUUACCAUUAUUCAAUUAUGGAUGAUAUAAGCCUUUUAGUUAUUACUGUUAUUUGAUUUUUUUUUUUCAUCUAUUCACUUAUAUCAAAUCAAUUUUGUGUUUAAGUAUAUGUGUGGUGUCGCUGAAAAUACAGGGUUGAGUGAUGUAUAUUGGUUUACAAACCCCCGACUCACUCAUGAAGGCAACAAGUUUGACGACACCCAAGCAUAUAUGACCAAAUUUUUUCAAUGGGGUAAAGAAAUUUAUUUUGUCCCUUAUAUUGUUGGCUACUUGUGGGUUCCUUGGGGGAGAACCUUGUUGUGUGGUUUUGCUCCUUGCACCUCCCUCCCCCCAGCCAUCUUAGACAAGUAAUAGAUUGUUCAAUUGUUGGACAUAACAUGUUGGUAGGGAGAUCAACGACUAAGGCAAAAAAUCUUGUGUGGUUAUCCCUCCAGACAUUCAAGAGUACUGCACCAAUUCUCGCAAAGUCCAUAAAGUUUGGUAGGAUAAUUUGUGCUAAAUUUAUAAUUCAAAUGUACGAUAAUGUUAAUUAGGAUAUUCACUUGUUGUAACUAAAGACUUUUAUAUGUAUUUAGACAUUGGAUGAUGUUGGGU